rnacentral:rRNA from 1 species
AUUAUUUUAAGAUUAUUUUUUAUUGUUGAAAAAAUUAAAAAUAAAUUGUUUUUAACAAAAAUUAAAAUUUAUAAUAUUUCAUUUUUUGGUUUUUUGUUUUAAAUUAAAAUAAUAAAUAUGGGGGAAAAAAAAAUUUUGUUAUAAAUUAUAUUAGUUUAUUUUAAUUAAAAAUAUUUUUUAUUAAAUUUGUUUUUUUUAUUUUUUUAUAAAAAAUAUUAAUUUAAUUAUUAUUAUUGAGUUUAAUUUAGUUAUUUUUAAAAAAAUUUUGUAUAAAAUAAAUUUGAUAAUAAAUGUUUUUUAAAUUCUUUGGGGGUUUAGUUUAUGAUUUUUUGUUUCUGCUCAUUGUUAAAUAAAAGCACUUUUAGCGUGAUUAGUCAAAGGUA